UACGGAGGGUGCGAGCGUUGUUCGGAAUCACUGGGCGUAAAGGGCGCGUAGGCGGUCUUAUAAGUCAGAUGUGAAAGCCCACGGCUUAACUGUGGAAGAGCAUUUGAAACCUUUUGGCUUGAGUAUGGGAGAGGAGAGCGGAAUUCCUGGUGUAGAGGUGAAAUUCGUAGAUAUCAGGAGGAACACCGGUGGCGAAGGCGGCUCUCUGGACCAAUACUGACGCUGAGGCGCGAAGGCGUGGGUAGCAAACAGGAUUAGAUACCCGGGGUAGU
rnacentral:rRNA from 1 species